rnacentral:rRNA from 1 species
GGAAGUAAAAGUCGUAACAAGGUUUCCGUAGGUAAGUAAACAUCGUCUAACCUCUGCUUAUACCAAUUUCACGGCAUACUAACAUUUUUCACAGGUGAACCUGCGGAAGGAUCAUUAUCGAGUUAGGGUCCCCAGGGCCCGAAUCUCCCAACCCUUUGUUUAUCCAACCUCUGUUGCUUCGGCGGGCCCGUCCUUGAUGGACCGCCGGAGGACCACCGCUUGCGGUGUCCUCUGGCCCGUGCCCGUCGAUAGCCCCCGUCUAAACUCUUGCUUAAAACGUGUUUGUCUGCCUAAAUUCAUAACUAAAAUAAAACGCAAAACUUUCAACAACGGAUCUCUUGGUUCUGGCAUCGAUGAAGAACGCAGCGAAAUGCGAUAAGUAAUGCGAAUUGCAGAAUUCCAGUGAGUCAUCGAAUCUUUGAACGCACAUUGCGCCCUUUGGCAUUCCGAAGGGCAUGCCUGUUCGAGCGUCAUUAUCAGCCCUCAAGCCCCGUGCUUGGUGUUGGACGACUUGGUCGAGUUUGCUCCCGACCCGUCCCAAAGACAAUGACGGCGGUUGAUGGUCCCCCCGGCACACUGAGCUUUUAUAAGCACGUGUUGGAUAAGGGUGUCUCAGCCCCGGUCUCCUCCUUCAUUGGAAAUUUUCAAGGUUGACCUCGGAUCAGGUAGGAAUACGCGCUGAACUUAAGCAUAUCAAUAAGCGGAGGA